rnacentral:rRNA from 1 species
UACGUAGGGACCGAGCGUUGUCCGGAAUCAUUGGGCGUAAAGAGCGUGUAGGCGGCCACUUAAGUCCUGCGUGAAAUCUUGCGGCUCAACCGCAAGCGGGCGUGGGAAACUGGGUGGCUAGAGUGCGGGAGAGGAGAGUGGAAUUCCUGGUGUAGCGGUGGAAUGCGCAGAUAUCAGGAAGAACACCCGUGGCGAAGGCGGCUCUCUGGAACGCAACUGACGCUGAGACGCGAAAGCGUGGGGAGCAAACAGG